rnacentral:tRNA from 2 species
UCCCUGGUGGUCCAGUGGUUAAGACCUUGCGCUCCCAAUGCAGAGGGCCCAGGUUCAAUCCCUGGUCAGGGAA